UGGGGAAUAUUGGACAAUGGGGGCAACCCUGAUCCAGCCAUGCCGCGUGUGUGAAGAAGGCCUUUUGGUUGUAAAGCACUUUAAGCAGUGAAGAAGACUCCAUGGUUAAUACCCAUGGACGAUGACAUUAGCUGCAGAAUAAGCACCGGCUAACUCUGUGCCAGAAGCCGCGGUAAUACAGAGGGAGCAAGCGUUAAUCGGAAUUACUGGGCGUAAAGCGAGCGUAGGUGGCUUGAUAAGUCAGAUGUGAAAGCCCCGGGCUUAACCUGGGAACGGCAUCUGAUACUGUUAGGCUAGAGUAGGUGAGAGGAAGGUAGAAUUCCAGGUGUAGCGGUGAAAUGCGUAGAGAUCUGGAGGAAUACCGAUGGCGAAGGCAGCCUUCUGGCAUCAUACUGACACUGAGGUUCGAAAGCGUGGGUAGCAAACA
rnacentral:rRNA from 1 species